rnacentral:piRNA from 1 species
UAAGUGUUUACAGAAGAGUUGGUGCAUAGGU